rnacentral:misc_RNA from 1 species
UCCUGGUUUCCCAGGCAGUCCCAUCAGAGUGCCCCUAAAAGGGUAGCAACUGACAGCAAGGGUUGCGCUCGUUAAAGGACUUAACCGAACAUCUCACGACACGAGCUGACGACAGCCAUGCAGCACCUGUUUACUUGUCCGAGCAAGCUCGGAAAACCACAUCUCUGUAGCGAUCAAGUAUAUGUCAAACCCAGGUAAGGUUCCUCGCGUAGUGUCGAAUUAAACCACAUGUUCCACCGCUUGUGCGGACCCCCGUCAAUUCCUUUGAGUUUUAAUCUUGCGACCGUACUUCCCAGGCGGAUCACUUAACGCGUUAGCUACAAUACCGAAUUGAUAAAUCAAUCCGACAUCUAGUGAUCAUCGUUUAGGGCGUGGACUAC